rnacentral:sRNA from 1 species
UUUGCGUUAGGGGUUGCAGGGAAAAACCUUUUUGAGCUUUUUCAGCGAAAAAAGUUUGGAACGAAAAACCCGACCCGCC